rnacentral:rRNA from 1 species
UACGUAGGUGGCAAGCGUUGUCCGGAUUUAUUGGGUUUAAAGGGUGCGUAGGCGGCCUAUUAAGUCAGUGCUGAAAUCCUCCGGCUUAACCGGAGAUGUGGCAUUGAUACUGAUGGGCUAGAGUACAGAUGAGGUAGGCGGAAUUGACGGUGUAGCGGUGAAAUGCUUAGAUAUCGUCAAGAACACCUAUAGCGAAGGCAGCUUACUAGGCUGUAACUGACGCUGAGGCACGAAAAGUGUGGGGGAUCAAACAGG